ensembl:snRNA U7 U7 small nuclear RNA
AAAUGUUAUAGCUCUUUCAGACUUUGUCUAGUAGUUUUCAUGUUGCAGCUGGAAAAUCCCC